GUGCCAGCAGCCGCGGUAAUACGUAGGGAGCAAGCGUUGUCCGGAAUCAUUGGGCGUAAAGCGCGCGUAGGCGGCCCCGUAAGUCCGCUGUAAAAGUCAAAGGCUCAACCUUUGAAAGCCGGUGGAUACUGUGGGGCUAGAGUCCGGAAGAGGCGAGUGGAAUUCCUGGUGUAGCGGUGGAAUGCGCAGAUAUCAGGAGGAACACCGAUAGCGAAGGCAGCUCGCUGGGACGGUACUGACGCUAAGGCGCGAAAGCGUGGGGAGCGAACAGGAUUAGAAACCCUUGUAGUCC
rnacentral:rRNA from 1 species